ACUAAUAAGGCCACAACACUCAAGGACGUGGUGGGCGGUGUCGUGGAGGUGCUCCCGGUAAACAAGCUGGCCACCAGGGAGGACGCCUAUAAGAACGACAGGAGGCAUGCCAGUGGCGGCAGGGAGCUAACACGAUCCAUUCAAUCCCGAUCCGAGUCGAUCAGGAAUCCAAUCCCGCACCGUGCAGAUGUGUUUUUCUUUUCCGCGGGGAAAGCGAUCACCGAUGGUAGGGACAAAGUGCGUGCGAGAACGCAUUCUACAAAGUCCAGAUUAGUCCGGAGCAAGCCAGGAGUCCAGGUUUAUUCACAAAGACCCAUUCUACAGCCAGGAGUCCACGUCCUUCCACACCUUUUCCUACUCUCCUUUUUUUUUCUUUCAUUGAAACCUUUCGCUAUAUAUUUCUAG
rnacentral:lncRNA from 1 species